rnacentral:rRNA from 2 species
GGACUGCCUUUUGCAUAAUGAGCCUGCGAGUUGUGGUGUCUGGCAAGGUUAAGCAAACGCGAAGCCGUAGCGAAAGCGAGUCUGAAUAGGGCGCUUAGUCAGAUGCUGCAGACCCGAAACGAAGUGAUCUAUCCAUGAGCAAGUUGAAGCUAGUGUAAGAACUAGUGGAGGACUGAACCCAUAGGCGUUGAAAAGCCCCGGGAUGACUUGUGGAUAGGGGUGAAAGGCCAAUCAAACUUCGUGAUAGCUGGUUCUCUCCGAAAUAUAUUUAGGUAUAGCGUUGUGUCGUAAUAUAAGGGGGUAGAGCACUGAAUGGGCUAGGGCAUACACCAAUGUACCAAACCCUAUCAAACUCCGAAUACCUUAUAUGUAAUCACAGCAGUCAGGCGGCGAGUGAUAAAAUCCGUCGUCAAGAGGGAAACAACCCAGACUACCAGCUAAGGUCCCUAAAUCUUACUUAAGUGGAAAACGAUGUGAAGUUACUUAAACAACCAGGAGGUUGGCUUAGAAGCAGCCAUCCUUUAAAGAAAGCGUAAUAGCUCACUGGUCUAGUGAUUUUGCGCGGAAAAUAUAACGGGGCUAAAGUAAGUACCGAAGCUGUAGACUUAGUUUACUAAGUGGUAGGAGAGCGUUCUAUUUGCGUCGAAGGUAUACCGGUAAGGAGUGCUGGAGCGAAUAGAAGUGAGCAUGCAGGCAUGAGUAGCGAUAAUUAAUGUGAGAAUCAUUAACGCCGUAAACCCAAGGUUUCCUACGCGAUGCUCGUCAUCGUAGGGUUAGUCGGGUCCUAAGUCGAGUCCGAAAGGGGUAGACGAUGGCAAAUUGGUUAAUAUUCCAAUACCAACAUUAGUGUGCGAUGGAAGGACGCUUAGGGCUAAGGGGGCUAGCGGAUGGAAGUGCUAGUCUAAGGUCGUAGGAGGUUAUACAGGCAAAUCCGUAUAACAAUACUCCGAGAACUGAAAGGCUUUUUGAAGUCUUCGGAUGGAUAGAAGAACCCCUGAUGCCGUCGAGCCAAGAAAAGUUUCUAAGUUUAGCUAAUGUUGCCCGUACCGUAAACCGACACAGGUGGGUGGGAUGAGUAUUCUAAGGCGCGUGGAAGAACUCUCUUUAAGGAACUCUGCAAAAUAGCACCGUAUCUUCGGUAUAAGGUGUGGUUAGCUUUGUAUUAGGAUUUACUCCGAAAGCAAGGAAACUUACAACAAAGAGUCCCUCCCGACUGUUUACCAAAAACACAGCACUCUGCUAACUCGUAAGAGGAUGUAUAGGGUGUGACGCCUGCCCGGUGCUCGAAGGUUAAUUGAUGGGGUUAGCAUUAGCGAAGCUCUUGAUCGAAGCCCGAGUAAACGGCGGCCGUAACUAUAACGGUCCUAAGGUAGCGAAAUUCCUUGUCGGUUAAAUACCGACCUGCAUGAAUGGCGUAACGAGAUGGGAGCUGUCUCAAAGAGGGAUCCAGUGAAAUUGUAGUGGAGGUGAAAAUUCCUCCUACCCGCGGCAAGACGGAAAGACCCCGUGGACCUUUACUACAGCUUGACACUGCUACUUGGAUAAGAAUGUGCAGGAUAGGUGGGAGGCUUUGAGUAUAUGACGCCAGUUGUAUAUGAGCCAUUGUUGAGAUACCACUCUUUCUUAUUUGGGUAGCUAACCAGCUUGAGUUAUCCUCAAGUGGGACAAUGUCUGGUGGGUAGUUUGACUGGGGCGGUCGCCUCCCAAAUAAUAACGGAGGCUUACAAAGGUUGGCUCAGAACGGUUGGAAAUCGUUCGUAGAGUAUAAAGGUAUAAGCCAGCUUAACUGCAAGACAUACAAGUCAAGCAGAGACGAAAGUCGGUCUUAGUGAUCCGGUGGUUCUGUGUGGAAGGGCCAUCGCUCAAAGGAUAAAAGGUACCCCGGGGAUAACAGGCUGAUCUCCCCCAAGAGCUCACAUCGACGGGGAGGUUUGGCACCUCGAUGUCGGCUCAUCGCAUCCUGGGGCUGGAGCAGGUCCCAAGGGUAUGGCUGUUCGCCAUUUAAAGCGGUACGCGAGCUGGGUUCAGAACGUCGUGAGACAGUUCGGUCCCUAUCUGCCGUGGGCGUAAGAAGAUUGAAGAGAUUUGACCCUAGUACGAGAGGACCGGGUUGAACAAACCACUGGUGUAGCUGUUGUUCUGCCAAGAGCAUCGCAGCGUAGCUAAGUUUGGAAAGGAUAAACGCUGAAAGCAUCUAAGCGUGAAGCCAACUCUAAGAUGAAUCUUCUCUAAGCUCUCUAGAAGACUACUAGUUUGAUAGGCUGGGUGUGUAAUGGAUGAAAGUCCUUUAGCUGACCAGUACUAAUAGAGCGUUUGGCUUAUCUUUAAUAAAGCAU